CCAAAAGUAGAAUUCCUUCACUGCUGCUGGUGAGCAGCUAAAGAGUAACUGUGGAGCGGCUUCUAGUGUGAUUGUGGAGCCGAGUGCCUGCCUUCCCUUUCAGCCCCCCACUUCCCUGGACCUCUUACUGCAUCUGGAGGGCCUUCUCCUUGGGCUCCCUAAAGGCAUGCACAGUCCUGGGUGUGGGCGGCGGCAGCUGGCUCGUGGGAGGUGAUGGGAGGCAAGCCGCCACCUCGCUGCAGGACCAGCUUGACAGCUGAGCUUUAAGGAGAGGAAGACAAUGUAUCUUGUGUGUGUCCACCAAAAAGGCAAAAGGAGGGUAGGGUAUUUAUAUAAAACAGCAAAAAAACCUUUGGAACCCUUAAAGAAAUCACAUACCUUUUAAAGGUAGCAGAGUUUUCACCAAGUGAUGCAUUCAGCUAUGGCACGUCUCGCCAGAAAUCUUGGGCUGAGUUAAAAGAUAAUGUGUUUAAAACACCACCUCCUUUUAAAAUUUUGCCCAAGGAGUUAAUUUCCUAAGUGUAGUAUUUCUGAAUGUGCCUUUGUGAGUUCAGAGACCGUCUGUUUUAGGAAGAACCUACCCAUUGGGAUAAAACAGACGGUCCCCUUAGUCUGUAGGAAAGUCAGCAUUUCUCUGGGCCGCUGCCAUGGCAGCCGUGGGUUUUCAGUUGCCUCAGUGUUGCAUACUGCAGUCACGGGGAAGAAGUUCGGGGACUUGGGACAGGGAACGAGGAGGUGAUGGUGCACAGAUGACAGACACUGGCUUAGUCCAGGAGUGCAAGUUGAACGUCUCUCAGCAUUGCCUAGUCUUCUCCGUGUAUAUGUGCGUGCGUGGCUGUGGCUGUCUUAGUUUUUGUUUUUCUGUAAGCACUGGAGAAUUGAAAUCUGGUAACACGGAUUUGUGACACAUCUGUGCACGUCGAGCAGGCAUUUUCUUGCUCCUGCCGCGCACAGAGCAGGCAGUGCGUGGCCACCCUUUGAGUCUGUGUCCUGAGAAGGCAAUUCUUUUCCCAAAUGGAAGUCACAUAAUGUUGCUGUUUGUGCGAACAGGGUAUAUUACACACAAGGAAAAGGCUUUUGAAAGGAUGAGUUGGACAUGUUUGAGAAAGAAAAGCGAAAAAUCAGAAACCAUGUUUUAUUUCUUCAGAACCAUUGUAGUUCAACAUUAGAAAUCCGCAGUGUCUCCUCCUUUGUUUCACGUUUGUUUUAAACGAUUCCGCCUCUUCUCCCCACUCCCUCCUAAAGAGAUAUCAAGUGAAUGCUAAGGGCCAUUUCCAUAAUUCCUCAGAACUCCCCAAAGGGGAAAGCAAUCCCUCGCAAGAUUCCUCCAGCUUCAUUCAGGAAGACCUGGGGCGAUGCUUCUGUGCUAGCUCCGUCCUCUCUCAUGGCCUUGAAAUGUAUUAUUAUGCAAAUGUGAAUUUUGAUACUGAAUUUAAGAAGAGGUUGUUGGAUUUUUUUUUUCUUUUCAAAAAAAAGAAGGGGGUCCGAUAUGUGGUCAUCAUUGCUUAUUUUGUAACGUGAAUUGUAACUAUGCAUUCUGCAAAGGGAGGGUGGGGGAGAGGGCAGAAAGGGGACGGAAGUAGCUUUGCAUCCUUGUUCUACGGUUUCUGUGUCCAUGGUGUGCCCCCCAUGCUGGCAGGGAAGGGGAGUGAGAGCGAGAAGCCAAGCCGUAAGGUCCGCACAGUGAGGUAUACAGGGCCCUGUGAGCCUCGGCCCGGCACUUCCUGGGGUUGGGAGUUGGGGGGCGCCAUUCCUACCAACCGUUGUGGUCCAGGAUCUCCAUCCUAGCUGUGCAGUGUUAGUUAGCCUGGUGCAGCAUGAGGCCCCUGAAGGCCCCCCCACCCUGCCCCACUGCUCUUUUCUCUGGAAAAAAGUUCUCACCCUUUGCUGAAUUCAGAACCCUUGCAAGCUCAGGAAACCAUGCCUCACUUGUGCUGACCUUAAUCUUUAUGUCAAUUUCAGAAACCUCCUCCUCCUCGCUCCGUUUUAAUUUUUCUUCUUUGAUGUUUUUAAGUGAAUUUAAUUGUAAGGCAACUCUCUGGAGAAGAGGACGGUUGCUUGACAGGCCAACGGGGCUUCUCUUUCCCACCCCUCCUGCUCCGCCAUAUUGACAUUUCUGCCGCCCUUGCAGUUGUUACACUGUGUGUAGCUAGUGAGCAGGGAGGUGUUUGAAAGCCUGCAGCCUCCUUUUGGUCCUGACAGCAUCCCUCCAUCGAUCUUGCCUGCAGUGAGUCGUGGCCUCUGCAUUGCUCUGGUGUAGGCAUUUUUGGCAACACACAGUGUCCUAAUAAAGCAAGCAACAGUGUUUCCAUGCAGCGCUUUUGCUGUCAACAUUCACAGUACUGUAACAAGUAACAGACUUGAUCAGUCUCCUCGUGCCCCUGCGAGCCUGCACAGGCACGGUCUUAUCAGGGUUCCAAUCUAUUAGAUUGCCUUUAGACAAAAAAACAAACACACACAAAAAGCAGAAUUCUGAUGUUUCAGCUAACACAAAACAAUACCUCCAGGUCCACUUCCCCUGCAGCGUAGACCUUUUAACUCCCCUUCUUUUCUGGCCACCAAUGGGUUAUCCUUGGAAAAAUAUGAACGUGUAAAUAGGAGGAUAACUUUUGCAAUGUUUUCUUUGCUGUGAAAGUAACCCUAAAAUAUGAUAUUUUCCACAUUUUUUUUUUAAGCCAUAGGAAGUUUCAGCUCUUUUUCUUUCACGUUUAAGAAGAGCAGAACAGGUCAGGGGAGUGGACUUGGCGUUUGUGGGGUGGUGGUCUCUCUAUCACCUUCCACACACAAUGACGGCAGACCAGUGUUUAAACCCUGUUUGAAAUAGAGGCCAUCUAUUUCAGCUCUGGGUCCAGGGUGGGGAGUGUCUGGAUUGCUCUCUUCUGGAAGAUCUGUCACCUCCAGGGACUCCAGAACAUUUUCUCCCUGAGACCUUGAGCUCUCAACCUUCCUUGGUUCAAACACACACAUACACACUUUGAGUAACUGUAGAUCAUAAAGAGAAUCAGUCCCUGGCAUUUCAAUUUUGUGCUGUAGAAUUCAUAGCCUUGUCACUGUGAUGCUCUGGAAAUUAGUUGAUUUCUUAUUUGGAAAGAAACUCCUCUGAGACAUGCGGACAGCCUUCCUGAAAGGCGCUCGCACCCUCAGAUUGUUCUCUCUCCACAAGGCUUGAAGCUGAUAUUAGGUGGAGGGAAACAAGUUUAAACAAGGGCUGCUUUUAAGGAUCUGUCAGCUAUUGCGCUUCUAGAUUUGGCCGCUCACGAGGCAGGAUCAGAAUAGAUCGUUAGAGAUAGCUUCUUCACAGCCUCCCUAGCUUCCCCCAUCUUAAACAUAAACCCUGUAUCUGUCAAGAAGCCCGUUGUAGGUUGGGCUCCCUGAUCUUUGUCUAGUGACGACUUCCUUUGAGGGGAAGAAACUUGAUAAUAAAUGCACACAUAUUCACCACCCACCUUCUGAUUUGGGCGCUGUCAACUUGCGGAUUUUAUUUCUCUGUGUGAUGGCCCCUUUUCUGUUUCCUCUUCUGGUCCCUCCUGAGGUUUUCCUGCCCUUAUGUCCCUAGGGGGCGCUCCCGAAGGGCUCUGCUGAUCUCUGCACUUCUAUCCUGGGACACAUCCCCCACCACCCUUUGCACACACAACAGUGACCAAAGUGUGUCCAGUGAUCUCACAGAAGACAUCAAAAAUGGUGCAUGCACCGUGAAUGUGCUCACAGAGACACGUGCACAAGAUUCUGCACCCUUGGCCUUAACCUUAGUAUGACUUUAGGUGCAGGAACAUUUUUAACAGGUUUAAAAAAAAAAAAAACAAACCUUUCUGGGAGGAAAAAAAAAAGAAACAGCUCAACUGUGCCCACUCCUAAGUCUCCCAUCAUUUGCUUACAACUUACUCCGUGCCCACCCCACCCCCUCCCUGUUUCGAGUAACUAAAACCAGACAAAGAGAAGCAACCUGAGGAGAGGUGGGAAAGCACCACCUGGUGACUCGGGUGGUGCUGCCCCUCAGUGCCCCCUCCUCCCCCGCUUCUCUCCUUGCCCCCUUUCACAGAUGGUGCAGAGAAGGGCAUCAGAAAGAGGCUGGAUCUUUAAAAGGCAGCUUUCCAACUUUGCACACAAACAGGUAACAGGAAGGUACAGCAAAAACCCUCUCAUCUGAAACACUGUCCACAGAAACAAAACCUGUAAACGUGACUAAAUGGCUGCACAAUUUUGAUGCUCUCUGCAAGUUACCUAGAAGUGUUUUGUUUUUUUCUUAUACUUGAAAUAGCUUUUACAAUAUUAUUUUGAUGGCUUUCUUUUCUCUCUUCUGGUGGGCGAUAGAGAAAGUGGAUGAUGGGAUUUAAGCAAGUUUGAGGGGAGAAAAGGGAGGAUAUGGCAUUGUCUUUUUUUUUUUUCCCUUAAAUAUAGAGGUUUAAUCAGACUCCCAUCUGUUGAAAUUGCUCCUCAUAUGACUGGUUUUACAUGGACACAGAAACUAGGCACUUUAGAGGUGCACUUGCAUGGCAGGCUGGGCCCCCCUUUUCUAUAUUUUAUUUUACUUUUUUAGUAUAGUGGUACUUAAAAUCACUGGUUCACUUAAAAAACAAACAAUAAAAUGUUAAACUCUACUAAUGUACAAAUAAGCUGAAAAGUUGCAUUUUAUGUGUAUUUUUUGCCAUAGCAGGUACUGUAUUUCUCAUGCUGGAUUUCAAAAAAAAAAAAAGUCAAAAACAAAAAAAACUAAAGGGUGGUCUUUUAUUGGAUUGUGACAGGUUGAGUAAUAAGGAAUUAAGUCGUCGUCAUUUCAUUAAAACUGAGAGAUGAUGUAAUGCAUAUAUAAGAGUUUUCUGAAGGGUUUUUUUUUUUGGGCUUUUAAACAGCUUAUUUUUGUUUUUGUUUAGUUUUUUAUUUUAUUUUAUUUUGGAAAGAUAUGAUUGUAUUAUGUGCAACUCAGUUGCUUACAUUAUAACUACAAAAUAUUUUUGGGUUCCUGGAAAAAAAAAAAAAGAAAAAAGACUAAUAAAUGUGUUUGGCUGCUAAGCA
ensembl:lncRNA